rnacentral:RNase_P_RNA from 1 species
CGAAGCAGAAGUCUGACUCCGGGUUUCUCCUGAAACCUGAGGAAAUUCCAGCCAUUCAUGUACGCUGAACAGUCGGGUAGUGCCUGUUGGUGGCUAUUCGCUGUCAAUCGAGAGAUUGGGCUCUGCUACAGAAACGACACGCCCCUACUCUUAUGGCUAUGAUGGAGUGAAGUCGCUGGUAACAAUCGACGAGUUAAUCUCCUGAGGACGAGUAGGGUAUCGGUGAAACGAGCAUCCUCAGUGAAUGCAAGCUGAAAUAAUGAUCUCUUCGGAGAUCGUGGAGAGCAGCGCUUAGGUUGAUGUCAGAAACUCUGAUGGGGUAACCCUAACGAGCCAACAGAAGCUGGAUUACUCUCUGGAGCG